CAUCCAUCCAUUGUCCCUUUACUGCAUUCUCUCUCCAUCUAUGCUUUCCUCCACUGUAUUAGCUGGCAACUUCUCUCUCUGUCUAUUUCUGUGGUUUAGAUACCCCUUAUCACCCUAGUGAGAGUCAUUAGGUAAGAACAAUUAUCAUUAUGAUCAUUAAUGUGUUUUCUCCCUCAGGUGCCCAGUCCCAGAUGCAGCUGGUGGAGUACGGGGGGGCUGUUAGAAAUGAAGGGGAGUCCAUCCGGCUCUCCUGUAAAUGCACCGGCUUCACCUUCAGCAGCUCCGAUAUGUUCUGGUACCGGCAGAGUCCCGGGGAAAGCCCGGAGUUUGUCUCACGCAUUUACUACGACGGGACUGGCAUAAAUUACGCGCCUCGGGUUCAAGGGCGAUUCACCAUCUCCAGAGACAACGCCAAGAGCGAGCUGUACCUGGCAAUGAGCCGCCUGAGACUGGAGGACACGGCCCGGUAUCACUGCGCUGCUAGAGACACACAGUGAGGGGAAGCCGGUGUGAGCUGAGACAAAAACCUCCUGUCCUCGGGCCCAGAGGGGUAAAG